rnacentral:rRNA from 1 species
UACGGGGGGGGCAAGCGUUGCUCGGAAUUACUGGGCGUAAAGGGCUCGUAGGCGGCCAACUAAGUCAUACGUGAAAUCCCUCGGCUUAACCGGGGAACUGCGUCUGAUACUGGAUGGCUUGAGUUCGGGAGAGGGAUGCGGAAUUCCAGGUGUAGCGGUGAAAUGCGUAGAUAUCUGGAGGAACACCGGUGGCGAAGGCGGCAUCCUGGACCGAUACUGACGCUGAGGAGCGAAAGCCAGGGGAGCAAACGGG